rnacentral:lncRNA from 1 species
CAUUUUUUUCACCGGAGCGCGGACAGACCGUUAAAACCGAACAAAUCCUUUUUAAACGAUUCCGGUUUAUUUGUAUUCUGUGCUGUAAGACACUGUGCUUUAAUAGCAAACUGCAAAAAAGGCAGUACGUAUUGCUUUCCUUUUAAUUUCACAAUGGAACGUUUCACAAAAACAGUAGACUACUUUCCUGUGUUUAAGUGACCGGUGAGUCUGGGAUGGAAUGGAAUAAGUCUGGGAAGCGUCAAGGGAGCAGGAAAUGGCGGGUUAGUCACACGGAGGGGUAGUGACGGGCGGUAUGCUAAGUGACAAAUAGGCAGAAAGGAACUCAUUAAAACUGGGGUUUGGGACUCAUCAGUGCCCACGAGCAUCAGCCCAGUUUCUAACAUUCACGACGUUCGUAGCUUUUUAAUGGUAAUACCUCCUAAGAGAUUGGACCGUGAGUAUUUUAGGCACCGGGAGAUUCAAGUUUACGUCUCGCUUCUGUGCUGAAGGGAGAUUGGUCAGUAGUGGGGGAAGGAAAACCAGAUUCCGGCAAAGCUUUUUAGCUUAGGGCAGGCAGAAGGCUUCCCCGUGUUGUGUCUUCAUUCAUCAUUGGGCAUUUUGCAUUAAAAACCCACUCUCCUCACAACCAGUGCUGAUAAUCUCUCACCCUUUGUCCAAAUAUGCGUUGAUAUAUACUACUGAAGUGUGCAACUUAAUGCUAUUGCUUUGUCUAGACAAAAUAUGAGCACUCCACACUGAGUAAAGGUGAACGAGGAUUCUAUGCCUGUAGUGCAGAAGUGACCUAUUUAUGUAACCCAGGGUAUUAUUUACAGGAGACAAUAUUUGUACCCCACUAUCGCAGUAUAUUUCAGUGCUGCUUGGAAUUAAGUUUGCUUUGCUUUGUUUUUAAAGUGGAAUUAGAAUUUAGAAUCAGCGCUGCUGUCAACUAAAGAAGAAAGAAAAGUGCAAUGAAAUUUCUCUCUCAGAAAGCUCUGUUAAUGCAGCUGGUCUGCCAUCUAUCCAGCAGUUGUGCUUUUUGCCUAGUGGCCAUCAUGGAGAUACAGGUAAGUAAAUUAGGGGUAGGUGCCGCUUUCAUUUACUGUCUGAUUCUGUUCUAUAUUUAAUCACUGCACUAUUUGUCAUCGUAGAAAUUUGACAGUGUUUCAGAACACUGAAAAGCUGGAUGCAUUUCCUAUGGCAUCACAGGUUAGGCAGUCUUCAUUCAGCUUUUGGAGAUCGUGGAUAGAAGAGGGGUUACAAAUAUUUAUCGGAAGUUGCACUAAUUGUGAAGAUCAGCAUAAGCAAUGUCAUUUGUAAUGCACACAUCUCAGAGGAAGCCUCUCAGUACGACCUGCAAGUUAUCAAAUAUGAGAACAUUUUCCCUCUUUGAGGAGCAGAAAGUUAACAGGUAUACAUAUUUAAAUACCAGAAGUGAGGUAAAGAGAAGCAUUUGAAUUAAGGCACCAUUAUUUACAAAUUCCACUAUUGGCACUCACUCCAAUAAAUCACAGAGAUGCACUCAUCUGGGAGUAAAUGCAAUGCUAAGGAGUUUUUCCAGCCCUUCAACCUUCAUUUCUACAGGCGUGUGUGAAGCCACCAAAACUUUUACCCAUCACAGCCUCUGUGAUGUCUAGUGUCUAGAUGCUAGUGUAAGAAUAGUCCUAGAAAUAUGUAGUUUCUUUAAUAUCCUCCAGCAUCACGCCACGGAUGACAUAAAACAAAGGAAUUAUAAAGCAAAAAAAUGUGUUAUAUCCACAGGCCUAACGAUUAAGUAAUGGUUUAAGCAACCGGUAUCUGUUCAUUGUAUUGUCACAGAUGGUUUAAAAUCCCCUUCCUUUACCUGCAGCUCUUAAGAAAGGUUCAAAAUAAUGCUUUGAUAACACUGCAUAAGAAUAAUCCAGCAAUGGUUUUCUAGAAAUCCUCCAAAUUAGGCUACAUGAAGGUUGGUCCAAUUUAUCAGUUGAAACGCAGUCUCUUAUUUUUAAGAUGCACAAGUUAUUUUCAAGUCAGAAGAUGCACAAAGCACAAGUGAAUGCAACUGUUCCAUUCUUACUCAGCUGUAGAAAUGAGUUCAUAGAUAGGGCACAGCAGUUAGUCGAUACCAGUUAACAGUCUCCUUGCUCAAGUUGAAGUCCUUCAGAGAGAGUGUAAUUCCACCCAAGAAGAAGUUCUCACGUAAUGAUUCCGCACUGAGCACACUCAGCUGGAGUUCUCUCUGCUUCAGAGUUUCCACGCUAUAUCCACUGUACACAAGCUGGAAGGUAAGAAGUCAAGAAUUUUGGUUAUUCAAAUGAAGUGACACAGGUGGCUCCUUUUUCUGCCUGCCUCACCACUGAUGUUGAAUUGCAGAUCGCGGCCAUUCCAUACGUCUGCUUUUCUGAGGCUAGGCUGAAGCCCAUGCAUAUUUCAUUACGUGCUCUUAAGUGUUUAAAAGGACCAAUGUUUUUAGAUAGAAGUACUGUUUACCUGUGGUAUGUUCUGAAUUCAUUCUUUUCCACAUUCUGAAUCAAUGAAUCGAAGGAAGAAUCUUUAGUUUUAAGACUCUUUCACUUCUCACCAUCACUCCUCAAAGUCAAGUCUAAGAAAUUUCUGCUAAUUUGUAACAUAGGCCCAUUUUAUUCUUUAUUUUUUUUUAACAAGGCACAAAAAGUUUUGGAAACAAGUUCAUUUUGGAUUUAUAUAUAUAUUUGCAGGGUGAUUUUAGACAAGAUUUUGAUUACUGCUUAGAAUAAAAGAUGAUAGCAAACCAUACAGAGUUGCUACAAAAAAUUGAACUUGCCAUUUCAUUGAAAGUUGGAUUUCUCGUCUUCCGGGAGAUUUUGGUUUUGCGUUUGGAUGUUUUGUGCGUGUCUGGCAAUAAGUAUGUUUUUACGUAGGGAUUUGGAUCUGCACCAUCUUCUGUAACCUGGAAUCCAAAACCAAGACGUGUUAGAAGAUGAGUUGGAAAAGUAGUUAUUGCACACUUACACGACUACUUUCGAAUUGCUAGUCUUAACCACCAAGCAGAUCAAAAGCAGCAGCUGAUAUCUUUGAUGUGCAUCACCAUGAUAAACAGAGUGCUAUUUCUGUAUGAUAUGGAUAGCUUCACUUCUCCACCCACUUUGCCUGAGGUAGGACUCGAUGGACUUGCAUCUGAAAAAAUACACAAUUAUUUCCUCUGUGAAUAUCUGUACGUUUUCAUCAGUACUGCACUAAUUAUAUACAGGUAGAAAAAUAAAUGCACGGUUUAGACUAAGUUCGGUUUCUGAUUUACACUUCUAAUUCCCCAGUAAGAUGGCAAGGCGAUAGGUUUUAAUGAUUUUUGCAUUCUCUUGUUCAGAUUGUUGGAAAACCAGAACAAAAACUUGAAUGAUUUUCUUAAGCCAUAAGCAAGCCCAGUGAUCACAUGUACUGUUGUAAUUCUUGGCAUGCUUUUUAUUUCCUUGGAAUUGUAUGCAACCAUAUUUGGAAAGGAAGAUGUGCACACUUCUCAACGAGGAAAAAUUCCAGUUAAUUUCAAAAGAUUCUUUAUAAAUCACAUUUUAAAAGUGUCAUACUAUAGUCACCCAGUUUAUAAAUACUCCACCUCUUGCCCCACAGACAUGACCUACCUGUAGAUCUGGCUAUUCCAUCUAUUCCUUCCACUUUGUCAUCACGAAGCAAUGGAUGGAAAAAUGUAUAGACAAGAUCACACUAAAUUUGGAAGAAAUUUUAUAUAUUAGAUUAAAUGUUAACGAGCACUAAGAUCCAAAAGCCUCCCCUGGAUUUGCUUAAGUUACUUAAACUCACUUCUGCCACCUCUGGAGAACUGUUCAUCAGACUCUGUAUGUAGCUGUUGAGCUCCACUUUUCUUUUAGCAGCUACGUCUUUUAUAUGUGUUCUUCCCAGAACCAUCUUAUUAGGAAAGCUAUAAGAGAAGAACAAGGUGAAGUUUGCAGUUAAUUUUUCUGUAGUGCAGUUAAAUUUCAUUCUAAUUUCCAUCCUGAAGUGUUGACGUCUAUUUUUGACAUCGAUCAUAAAUGGAGACAUGGGCAUCCUAAUAUAUAAUGAUGUUAAAGAAAAGGUAGGAAACUGUUAUAGGUAAUUGUUACAAAUGAUAAAUCACAAAUUGAAGACACAGAAUAGCUCCUCUAGUUUUCCUCCUUCAAUCUUGAAUAUUAUAUUUUUCUCCCUUAAUUGCCACCUUUGAGGUCUAGUUCACUGCUCAGCAGUUUUGUCUCAGCUAUCUUUAACUCCACCCUAACUAGGAUCAUUCUUUACUGAAUUCAUUAUUAUAGUGAUGAAUGAGUGAGAAACAUACCCUGGUAACUUCCAAAGUGGAAAAAGAAUGCCAAGUUUGUUGUGGAGUUCCUGGAACUCAUCAAAUGUUCGGAAAACAAAAGUUGGCUCAGCUUGUCCUUCUCUCAAAACUCUCACCACAUAUAUCUGCCAAAAAUGCACAUUAAAAAGAUAGAAAGUAGUAGUAAUGUUAAAGAAUUUACUUAAAUACUGUUCUUUUUUAAACAUUCAAUUUUUUCUACUCUGGUAAUCUUUCUCCUACAUAAAUUUUCCAGUGUUUGCAUUUCAUAUUGAAGUUUGAAUUAUAAAUCACCCUACUGAAAUGUUACUGCAAAGUAACAUUACAUGAUUUUCCCAUAAAGCAGCUCUACAUCUGACAAUGAGAUAAAAGCAGUUAAGGCUAAGCUGUCAGCAUUCUCCAUUUUAAGCCUCAUUUUAAGUUCAUACUCUGUAUCAGGUGUACAAAAUGUAAUACAUCUAGACACAGCUGGAACUACUGUGAAUAUUUACAGGUCCAGACUCUCAAAGCAACAGCUUGAUAGACAAACGUACAUACAUUGCCUUAUAUAAAAGGAAAUCUUUCAAAUGCUUGAGAUGCAUCCCCAGGACUCAGUUAUUCAUCUCAUUAAGAAAGGAAAAAUGAAAGCUGAGAAAUUGCACAGAAAAUUAAGUUCAGUGAACUCAUAAAUGAGUCAAAUGUGUAUUUUUAAAAUGUGCAACUAAACAGAAGGAUGUUCCAUUACCUCAGCAGUUUCCUGGAAGAUCAAACACUGCUUUGGCUUAGAACUGGAGUACUCAAAUACAUUCAUAAUGCAGCAAUUCCAUAUAAAGCUUUUCUUUUGUUCUGUAAGCUUUACCUUACCUAAUUGGUGUCUGCCAGAUUAGGUCAUUUGCAGCAAAAACAACUUGGAAACAGAUAUACAUUAGCUCACUUUUUAAAACAACUUGAGGAAAAUUGAGCUUGGGGUUGACCAAUCCAAGACAACAAACAGCAACAGAAAAAAAAAUGGGAAAGAAUAUGGUUGCAUUGAGUGCAAAAACAGAUUCCACAUACUUACGUAAUGCUUAUCUGGAUUGUAUCUCUUCUGAUAUGUAAAUACAGACACCUGUUUGAUGCGGCCAUCUUGUUUAAGAGAAUAUGUUUUAGCAGAAAAUGAGAGGAUGGGUUCAUCAUUAGAAGGUAGUCCUGAGAAACGCAGCUGAGCCAAGUUAUGAAUAAAGAAGUUGAACUUUGUGGCAACACUUCCCAGACUGGAUUCAAUCAACCUGGAGUAGAUAAAAUAACUUCAAAUUCUAUAACACACAAAACCCUCCUCAUCACUCCAGUCCAGCCCCAUUUAAAGUGGGAUAGAGUAAUACAUUUUGUCACACAGCAACAAGUCACUUACACUAUAUGCACACACUGAUUUGCUCUUAUUGGAAGUGUAAUCCUUCCCUCCCCAGUGGGCAGAAGUGCUUUUGGAAAAGCUUCUUUAUACUGCAUGCAUUUCAAGGAUAUCAACAUGUACACUACUAUUAAGCAAUCUGGGAUGCAUUCAAAAUGUGACUCUCAAACAGCAGAACAGAAUUACUCUAUUUCAAGCAAUUCUUUUGCACAAGGUAAUUCUUAAAGGCAAAAUAUUUUAGCACAGCUAUUAAUCAUACAUGAAACUGAUCUUAUCUUUGCAGUUCACUGGUUAGGUGAUGGGUGUUCUUUGGUUGCAUAACCUAACUACUCAACUUCUACAGCCACCUUUGCAACAUCUUUAGUACAUUGAUCUGAAGCAGAGGGCUCCCACUAAAAGGAUGAUACUGGUGGAUAAUUUCGUUCCCUCACUUAGCCAGUACCUUGUAAAGAAAAUGGUAGCUUCUGCAUCUGUUGUUUGAGGUUGGAGAGCAUCCUGGACGUACUUCAAGUCCUGCACCCCACUUAGUUCAGGUAACCCAGAAGAAAGCAUCUGCAGGAAAAUUAAUGUGCAGUUUUAACAAAUAAAAUGUGAUUUUACACUGAAAUAAUUAAACUCUUAGACCUUCAAAGUCAUUUGAAGCUGUGAUAAAUUGCUUAAUGCUAACAGAGGUAGUCAACGAUUACUUUCAAUCAGCAGCUAUUCCCCUUGUGUGUUUCUGCUGAGUUAAAAGCAGCUAACAAAUAAUUGCUCAGGUUGGAAAAGACCUUAAAGAUCAUCAAGUUCAACCACAACCUGACCAUAUUACCCUAACCUCUAACAACUCUCUGCUAAAUCAUGUCCCCUUUGCAGAGUAAUUCAUUAUUAUGUAUUCUUAAUAUUCUAUAUAUACCAUAUAGAAUAUUUAUUCUUAAUAUAUAUAUAUUCUUAAUUUUAAACUCUCAGGAGGCAGGUAGGUAGUUUAAAAAAAGAAGCCUAAAAAAAAUCAUCACAUACAACCUUCCUAAAAAUGUACAUCUGAUAUUUCUUGCUUUUAAAGGAACGUGUCAAGAGUUCCUGCAGCAUAAAGAAUUUAGGAUUUAAUAACGAUCCAACAUUACAGAUCAAGUUUCAACUAAUGUUAAGAAAAACGCUUACCAGGGAAAGUAGGUUAAGGAAGAGGUUUGCAUGUUUCCUUAUCAAAUUGUAAGCUUGACAACAGAGAUCCACAAACAACUGAAAGCGAAUAGUGGGUUUUUCACCACCAUUAAUGACAUAAGCCAUGUCAGAUGUUAGCACAAAUGGAGCCCGAUCCCUGUUCAUAAAAGCACAUAAUUCAUAUGUUACUUACAAGGUCUAUUCACUUUGUCACAUGCUUCCCUCCAUUCCCACCCCCAGGUAUUGAUACCCAUUAAUACCACUUUACUUUUCUAGGUUGGGUUCAGCUACUCAGGUUUCCUGCACAUUCCCAUGGACCUACUUCAGAAUCUCCUGGAGCAACACUUGGAGGCCAGGUUAAAUUACGGUGCCUUUCAUCCCUCAUUUCUAGAAGCCACAACACACAAACACAAGAUGUCUGGCUUUUGUAAGCGCUUCGAGAAAAUCCCCACUGAGAUUUAAGCAUAUUCAGCACAGAAAUUCUUAAAGAAUUAAUGCAGUUUUGAAAAGUGUGUUAAAUAUUGAUCCUUAUUUCAACCUACCAGAAGCUAGGACAGUAACUUUAUUUGAAAGCUAUGCCUAGGUGCUUAGACUUAAAAAAAAAAAUUCUAGAGAUCAGAUUAUGAAAAUGGAAAACUGGAAACUUCUCAGAAUUACUUCUGUACAAGCAAGUUUGAGGGCAUUCUGCAAACUCAGUGAUUAGAUUGGAAGAUAUUAGCUUCAUACUAAAAACUGCAUGUCACAGGAAUUUAAAUGUUAAUGCUUAUUAGAAUAUACAAAAAAAAUCACUUCAUUCUCUGCUUAGCAAUGGAAAAUACCUUUUAAAGCUACCAAACAUUUGCGCGUGACCCAGAAACUUUCCAAAGUCAAUGUGAAACAUAUGCCCUGUGUUUCGAAGCAUUAUGUUAUCGUUGUGGCGGUCACAAAUUCCCAGGACAUAAGUAGCGACACAGCAUCCUGCACAAGAAUAAAUGAAGUUUUCUGAAGCCUGGGAAGGGAAGGAAAGAAAAAAAAGAAAAUGAACUGAGAAUAAACAUCCAUGGAGAAACAGCAUCCAUGCAUUCAACAGUCAAUCUUGACAAGGGUAAAAUGCAAACCAGAUAAAACAGGUCCUAAAAUUUACCUUUUUCUGGACAGCGUUCUCUGGAUGGCUUUGCAAAAAUCUUUAGAAAUCAUAAUCUCCAGCAAAAAAUGUGUUUGCUUUGUUGUUUUUUUUUUUUUAAACAAAUGCAAGAUAAAGGAGGAUUUGAAGGCAAGAGACAAAGUGUAAGUAGUAUACGUGAAGGGAGGGGUACAUGAGAUUUAUUCUCUAGUGUAUAUUAACAGCACUGUAAUCAGUAGGAAACAUUUUAUUCUUGGUAUUCUAUGUCCCAAGAGACCCCUGCUCCUAAACCACAAUGAAGAGCAGCUGGCAUUCCUUCCUAUCGUCAACAAGACGGAAUGGAAUAUGGGCAGGAAGGUUCAACCUCUACUGCCAUACCACCAACAUCUGCCUCUGAACCAACAUAAUACAGCAGAAGGCAUUACUUUUGGAGCAGACCUCAGAAGGGAGGUCUUCAUCAACUCUUCCUGAAGAAUAGGAAAAAACUGAGUUUCCUAAAGCUUUAAAACAAAAACCUCAAAGUAAGGUCAGGAACAAGAAUUGCUCUCUCAAAAGCAAUCCUUAUUUAUCCCAUUUUAAAGGGCCUUCAAAAGAAGAAUACUGAAAAAAAGUUACCUUUUCGUAUUCCUCCUCUGUAGGAUUAUACUUUCGCAACCAUUCUGCCAGAGGCUUGUCUUUAAAAGAACCUGUCACUCCAUAUUCCACUUGAAUUUUCCUAAGUGUUUCCGAUGCAGGAACAAGUUCUACCAUACCUUCAUAUAAAAUAUAACAAAACAUCAUCUCCAUAAGUUAUAGUGCAUUUUCACUAUUUGGUAUGAAGUUUAUUGACAGUGAUUGAUUUCAUAAUUUAAGAUUAGCUUAUUUCAAAAUCCAGCUAGAUGUAAAAAGUGCUAUUAGUCUAUGAAGCAUUUCUGCAAACUACAUUACAAUGCUUUGCCAUGAAGCACAUAGAGAUUCAAUUUAGGUUUACUUUAUUACAACUAGUUAUGGUUGUUUAAAUACACACAUAUAUUAUACUUUUACUCAAAGCAUUACCACCUAAUUACUCUCUAGUACAUAAACUAGUAUUGGUCUAUAACUACAAACUCUCUAGUACAUAAGCUAGUAUUGGUCUAUAACUAAUAACUGUAAAAUAUUUUGAUACUGUCAUUUCUCAAAGACACAGCCUAGCAGCCUAGUAACUUCUACUAGUCAGUGAGUGUUGAAAUAGACCAGCCUGCCUUCAUAAAUAAGGCAAAAUAGGAUUUACAUGUGGUCUUAUUUUGGAGACAUCAUUUACUAGAAAUAUUUGUAGAGCUAGAUCAUAAAAAGAAAACAUUUUACUAAAACAGCUUGAAUUCUAUCUUGGCAAGAGCUACUAUGAGAAAAUCUGCAAUUUAUGUCUAUUUUUACUUUUCACUUGAAUCCUUCAAGUACUUUAGGGAUACUAGUAUUAGUAUCAACAAAAAAUGCAACAUGCUAUGCAAUCAAGUCAUCGCUCCAAGUAGGAAGAAAUGCCAUCUGCUUCUUUAAGAAGCAAAAGCUUUUCAUAAUUUGAAGCUUUUGGUAUAGUUUCAUCAACCUGAAUUUUCAACUCUUUCAUACACGUUUGGGAGUUUUCAUCAUGCUGUUCUGACCGAAGAGAUAAGUUUGUGCUGACCCUCUUUAAAGAUCCCGUGUUUCCUAUUGGCUAUCUGUAGAGGAUUAGUGACUUAACUUGCAUAAAUCAUGUCCAUGACAUGAGGCAGUAUUUAUACUCAGAGUUCUGUAACUUUAAAGUUACUAACAUAAAAACCUCAUAAUCCCAAGGAAUUCUGAGUAGCACAAGACAGUAAUUCUGGAAGUGGUGUGGGAAAGGAAUUAAGUCUAGUUUUUCUUCUUUUUGCACAUUUCUAUGCUCCCUGACUCAAUUGCAGCAGAUUCCAAAUACCUUGGAAUUUCAGUUUUGACUUGAAUAUUUUCUCACUCCAUAAAUAACUUUCAUAAUCAAAAUUGCUGUUGCACCACUGAUUUCCUGUGCUACAGUAAGAAUAUCAGGAAAAACCUUAUCCUUUUACUGUGACAUUUGUGCCACUAUUCGUCUACGGUAGAAUGCAUAAAAAUCUCAGGACUUGAGAAGAAACAUUUAAAUGCUACUCUGCCAUGAGGAAAUUCCAGACAAUUCAACAUGCUAGACUUUUGAGUGCUGAAGUUCCUUGUAAGGAAGGCUUUUGGCUUUCCAGUGUUUCCUGAGCCUGCCUUUGAGUAGAAAUUUUCUCUGUGAGCAUGACAAAAAUUUGGGCAGGGUGAAAGACAAGCACAAAAAUAAUAGGCAGCAUCUGGUGUUGCACCUCGAUCCUUUCCAGUUGAGAGACACUUGAAGAUAACCAUCCGUAGAUCCAGUCCCUCCUGCAGCCAGAUCUUAUCCAUGAUCUUAAUCAUCUGUAAAGCCAACAUAUCUUGUCGCAGAUCUUCUCCAACCUUAAUGGAAAUACAGAAGUCAAACAGAAACAUGAUAUGCUUUCAGCAGAACUGAACUGGAGAUGUUAAUUGCUUUAUAUUUCAAGUGCAGGAUACAUUACCCUGCUUAUUUCCUUACAGCUACACACUUAGACUACAAGCUAAGGUUUCACAUGCAGUAUACUGACUUUCACAUUUUACAACCUGUUCAGAUGUUAGUUAGCUUCUGAAAUUGUAAUGCUUAAAGAUACCUUAUGAAAAUGCUACAUCUCUUCUUAUUCCUUUUUAUAAUUAAAGCCUAUGACUUCACUCUGAGAAGAUGUGAGAAAGUACAGUUUCCCCUGGAAUACCUGUCCUUAAAAGAGAGCAGCAGUAACUCCUACCACUACCAGUUCUCCUACACAACUUUAAAGAAGUCUUAAGCAGUUAUGACAGAUGUAUCAUGCGUAAAAUAUAUUCUUGGCCACCCAAAAAGGAAAUUCUGUGGAUACUUUCAAGAUUCUGAAACGUUCAUUCAAGGUGGUGUCAUGCCAGCACUAAGGUGGAAGUUUCCUAUUGUACAGUUAUGAAAUUGAGCUGCUUACUGAAAAAACUAGCCAUCUUCAGACAUCUCUUCCUAAUCGUGGAACUGAUGAGACGGUUUCUAGAUGUACAAGAACAAGCUUACAAAGUAUUUAAGCAUACUGAUCUAUGCUGAAGUUAAUCAUUCUUUCAUUGGUAUCAACUACCAUUUAACAUUUUUCCAAUACACACGUAAGGCCUACCUUAAACAUCACAUUAAUUUCUUCUCCCAGAGGGUCUGCAUUUAUCAGUGCAAUUUUCAGUGGUACUGCAUUGGAGCUGAAGAAGGAGCAUGCCUACAAGUAGAUUUAUUGUUACUAUUCAAAAAGGACUACAAGGGCUAGUGCAGGAAACAUGACAUUCUGACAACAAGCACGUAUGACACAAUGUGCAUAUUCACACUCAUAACAUUGCAAUUGUGGUGAAAGUGUUUCCUUUGAACAAAGGGCCCUUUAGCUGAUAUUUGUUCAAUUCUUGUACAAAAGCCAACAGUUCAGCACAGUAAUGUUUUGUGUUGCAUCGAAGAAUGAGUAAAACAUGGAUAAAUAUUUUACCAGCAACUUUUUAAAACUUAAGACUAUAAAAACUGGAUAUUUGUGCCUUUCACUAUGUUCUCAUUUAUCUGUUUUCAAAUACAUAUUCAUGAUUUAAUUAAGACACUUGUAGUAGAGAAGGAAAGCAAAGGGAACUCUGGAUCUACUCUGGAUUAAAUCCCAUGCUCACGGACCUUUAGAUUCUCAGUUACGCACAAUGAUAUAAUCAAGGCUGUCAAACACGGUCAAACUUUGCAGAGUUCAGCAAAAACUCAUUUAUCAGCUUCUACACUAUCAUUUGUUGGACUUUUAUAAUGAAAUAAAGCUACUGCCUGUUUCCCUGGCACAACCAGUAACAGGCACAUUCACUGAUUUCACGGUAUUUAUUCAUUGUUUUAUCUUUAUAGCGUUAUUCACUUUUCUCUUUUGAUUACUACUGAAAACAAGACCUUCUCAUACGCUUUUGAGUAUUCCUCUCCUACAGCCACAAUUGCUGGUCUCAAAGCAGAAAAGGUCUGAAGAAAUAAUCACAUUUUAAUUAUUUACUAACAGGACCUUCCCCUGGUAUAAGUAUUUGUAUAAUUUUUCUUUUCUUAAUUAAUUUUACUCCCUCUUUCAAUCAGCAUUUUUAAUUAGAACUCUCC